GGUUCGAUGGCGGAUGGUUCGCAUCUGCACUGCCUAGUUGGGUUGAUAUCAAGGAUCUUGCGCAGAAGAUCCCCGUUCGACUCGGGGUCGAGCCA